rnacentral:tRNA from 1 species
GCCGACAUAGCUCAGCUGGUAGAGCAACGGUUUUGUAAACCGUGGGUCAUGGGUUCGAGUCCCUUUGUCGGCU